AAGUCGUAACAAGGUCUCCGUAGGUGAACCUGCGGAGGGAUCAUUUGAGUAUCGUUGGGGGCAGCAAUGCCUAUCCCAUGGGUAUGAAGCGUGAACCGGAAGGAUUGCCCGGUCUUGCAUGCGGAGUGUGGCUUGCCGCCGCCGCAUGCGGGACCGCGGGUUGUGGCCGCAGUGCCCGUCUUUGGUGACGGCGCUCGGCCGUAUGCAUGGACUUGUGUUGCAGGAUGCAGCAUUGGGCGUGCUUUGAUAGACACGCCGACCGGAAACCUGGCAGCAGCGAAAGGCGCAAGCCGGACGCAACCGAAAAUCGAUACAACUUUUGGCAACGGAUCUCUUGGUUCCC
rnacentral:misc_RNA from 1 species